AUCCGACCGGGUACCUCAGUCAAUCGCUGCUUCCUAGUAAACCUUGAGUACCAUAAGCACCACACUGGAACACCAUAACCACCGUAAAUGUCCUCCACCCACCCUGGACCCAAGACCAGGAUCCAGCUUCCAGUGGGUAGACCUCUUCUAGUCUAGAAAGCAAAGCAGGCUGCUCUUGCAAGAGCAAUCGUUGUGAUCCAAGAGAGUAUAGUGAUUAUAGCAAUCCCCAGAGUGAAUAUAGCUCUCCAAUUCCCUAAACAUGAGCCUAGACUUUAUUGAAGGGUAAAACGAAAUCUGUUUAAUGGCAGGCACAACUGGCCUUAUAUGCAGGUCCCCGUGCAAGGGCACUCCCCCCUGGACCUGUGAGUAGUCUACAGUAAAUACAUAUACACGAUUACAUUGGCUCUCUGGUCCAGGAUACUCCCAUACAAAAUAGGUCAAUCCCUCCCCUGUCAGAGCAGUUUUGGUGCCAUUUUCAAUUUGUCCCAUGCCUAUAUGUACCCCAACUAGUCAGGUUGUAAGUGUUUUAAUCCAUUGAUAAAGCCUAUAUUGGUGAAACGCAUUUGGAUAUUGUACUG